AAAUUGAAGAGUUUGAUCAUGGCUCAGAUUGAACGCUGGCGGCAGGCCUAACACAUGCAAGUCGAACGGUAGCACAGAGAGCUUGCUCUCGGGUGACGAGUGGCGGACGGGUGAGUAAUGUCUGGGAAACUGCCUGAUGGAGGGGGAUAACUACUGGAAACGGUGGCUAAUACC
rnacentral:rRNA from 3 species